rnacentral:rRNA from 1 species
GCCCCUUUACGAUGUCGACUUGGAGGUUGUGCCCUUGAGGCGUGGCUUCCGGAGCUAACGCGUUAAGUCGACCGCCUGGGGAGUACGGCCGCAAGGUUAAAACUCAAAUGAAUUGACGGGGGCCCGCACAAGCGGUGGAGCAUGUGGUUUAAUUCGAUGCAACGCGAAGAACCUUACCUACUCUUGACAUCCAGAGAACUUAGCAGAGAUGCUUUGGUGCCUUCGGGAACUCUGAGACAGGUGCUGCAUGGCUGUCGUCAGCUCGUGUUGUGAAAUGUUGGGUUAAGUCCCGCAACGAGCGCAACCCUUAUCCUUUGUUGCCAGCGGUUCGGCCGGGAACUCAAAGGAGACUGCCAGUGAUAAACUGGAGGAAGGUGGGGAUGACGUCAAGUCAUCAUGGCCCUUACGAGUAGGGCUACACACGUGCUACAAUGGCAUAUACAAAGAGAAGCGACCUCGCGAGAGCAAGCGGACCUCAUAAAGUAUGUCGUAGUCCGGAUUGGAGUCUGCAACUCGACUCCAUGAAGUCGGAAUCGCUAGUAAUCGUGGAUCAGAAUGCCACGGUGAAUACGUUCCCGGGCCUUGUACACACCGCCCGUCACACCAUGGGAGUGGGUUGCAAAAGAAGUAGGUAGCUUAACCUUCGGGAGGGCGCUUACCACUUUGUGAUUCAUGACUGGGGUGAAGUCUCA